UGCAGCCAAACCACAAGAUAGAGCUAAAGAAUCAGAAGAUGACAAGCACGCGUGGUAAUCCCUUAAACCACACGUAGCCUCUAUUAUUUCCCAGCAGCUGCAAUGCUCUUCAGUGGGGAAGCGACAUCAUUAAAGCUUGCCUGCAAAUGUACAUUAUAAUGUCUUAUGAAAUGCAGAGAAUAAGAUGACAGAUGGGGUGGGUGUUCAAAAUAAAAGAUACAGGGUGGAGAGCACAGUACAGCAGGGUGGGGCAGCUGUGAAGGACAGUUAUGAAACGACAUAACAGUCAGGGGCGUGGCCAAGCCACUCCCCUGCGCACAGCUGCUUCCGGCAGCAGCUCCUGACCUCCCCACCUCAUUAUUACUAAUUACCCCAUGGAUUUAACCCUUGUGUGUUGUAUUCUUAGUUGCAGUUUGUUUUUUGAAACAGCAUUAGUCUGCAGACGAACGACAUCACCCAUUCAAUCAAGGACGGAAAUCGGGACCAGGGGUGUGCCCAAGGACAAACAUGUGGACAGGAAAUGUCCCACACACAUGGCGGUCCACCAGCACCCCCAAGGCACCCCGGUCAUUGGGCAAAGGCUACAGAAACCCCAUACAACCACCCGCAGCGACCCAUCCCCCGCCACCACCGCCCCACAUGCUCCCCGAGACCCACCACCAGGGGAACAGGAAGCUACCCACAACCCGCAGGGCCUGCAUCUUUUGGAGAAGUAGUUUGAGUUUGGUAACUAUAUGUCUAGUUAGCUAGUUAACGUGUGCUACACGCUACUAAACUGUAAUUCUAUUUUAUUGUUUUGUGUUGUAUUGAGUGUGUGAUUAAAUUGUCUUAGACACAAAACAAGUACUUUGUUAUACAGUGAAGAAAAUAAAUAUUUGAACAUCCUG